GGAGGGGUGACAGAGUGGUUUAUCGUAUCUGACUUGAAAUCAGAAGAACUUUACGGUUCCGUGGGUUCGAAUCCCACCCUCUCCU
rnacentral:tRNA from 1 species